GAAGGGUGGAGACUCAGAGCAGCAGUGAGGAGGGGAGGCAGGGAGGAUCUCAGCUGGAGUAGAUAGAGAGACAGAGAAAGGCAUACACAGAGAGAGGAGUGUGUGUGUGUGUGUGUUGUGAGUGUGGAUGUAAUCGGCUGCCUCCUCGCACACCGAACUGACCCACUGUGUGUUUAACAGAUCUGGGGGACGAGGAGAAGGAGUGGAUACUACUACCGCGGGACUGGAUGUGUUUGGAAAGGAAAACACGCAACGAAGAGAGCGCGGCGGACACAAGCUGCUGACUGAACCGCAAAGGGCGACACCGGGGGCAGAGCGCGGAGGAGUGAGCAGACGAGUAUGUUGCAGCGCUCGCCCGUGAGCUAAGAUGUCUGGAGUGUUUAAAUCUCUCCCUCCUCCACCCAGACAGAGCAUAC